rnacentral:rRNA from 1 species
UACGUAGGGUGCAAGCGUUGUCCGGAAUUAUUGGGCGUAAAGAGCUCGUAGGCGGUCUGUUGCGUCGGCUGUGAAAACCCGGGGCUCAACUCCGGGCCUGCAGCCGAUACGGGCAGACUAGAGUUCGGCAGGGGAGACUGGAAUUCCUGGUGUAGCGGUGAAAUGCGCAGAUAUCAGGAGGAACACCGGUGGCGAAGGCGGGUCUCUGGGCCGUAACUGACGCUCAGGCGCGACAGCGUGGGGAUCAAACAGG